GUGAGUGUAAAGAAACUGUGGUAGGCCAGUGGGUCCCAGUCUUUUUCCUGCCCCAGAAUCAGGAGGAUAUGAACCUUUCAGCAUGGCUCUAGAAGGGGUGGAAGGUAAAUUUAUAGCUUGUGAUGUCCUUCCUCACUCUACCCCAAUCACUAUUAUAGACAGAUUUAGUGAUUUCUGGUCUGUUUAAUACAAAGACUUUCUAUUGUGUUCUCUUUUGUAGAAUCUGUGGUUUGUAUGAUUUUAUCUACUUAACAGAUAACACUAAUUCGAUUAUAAUUCCAUCAGAAAUUUGUUUAUUUGCUGCUCAUAGUUUCCGAUUGGUAUGCAAUAACUGUUUCAAUGAAAAUUAGUGGAAUUUAGCAUUUUAAUAUUUGCACCUUUGUGAAAUAUAAUAAAGAAAUCAAGGACUAGUACCACCUUCGCAGCUACUUAGGAGACCCACAAUCCCAGGUUGGGAGCCAGUGGAUUUCUUGAAACACAGAUUUGUUAAUGAGUUUAUAAAACACUGAUGAGCAAUAUUAGUAAUGUGCAGUGACCAUCAUUGACUUUCAUGAUACAAUAAAGUUUACAUAAUUUUUAUACUUUUAUAUAUCCUUUUAAUUCAAUCCUGUGUAUUUAUUCCUUCUUUUGUAAUGUUGAGGAAAUUAAAAUGUUAAGGACACCAUGUCUUAAGUUUUUCUUGUUAAUUUUUGAAUAGGUAAUACAAUCAUAUAACUCAAAAUUAAAAAAAAAAUUAAGAUGCAUACAAUAAAAAAAAAAAGAUUCCUCCUACCUCUGUCUCUUAGCUACCCAGAAGCACCCAGGGUAGCGGCUUCUUGUGUAUCUUUCAGAAACAGGUUAUGCAUGUAUAAGUGUGUGUGUGUGUGUGUGUGCGCGUGUCUGUGUGUGUCUGUGUCUGUCUAUUUUUAAUCCCUUGGGAGUAUUUCUGGUUCAAGGGAAGACCUAACAUACUAACUUGUAAAAACAACUACUGACUGAUGACUAUAUGCUCUUUAAAAUCAUUUCCUUCCCAUUUCUAUAGUUUUUGGGGUUUAGUAUUUUUUGUGUUAGGACACAGAUUUACAACAUUAAACCCAAUCCUGGAUUACAUGAAGUAGUUUUUCAUGAUUUACCUCCUUGUAAAAAACAUUAGUCAUCGUCUUUUUGUAAGUUGGAAAAAUACUCUUUGGAAUCCAGCAAGAAAUCAAGCAGAGAAGGGAAGUAAAAGAUGACACACCAGCUGUGCUGUGAAAAGACAAGUCCAAGAUGAAUCCGAAGACUGCCAGUUGACUGGCAUUAUUAAAGAGACAAGGUCUCACUGUGUUGCCCAGGCUGGUCUCAACUCUUGGCCUUAAGUGAUCCUCCUGCCUCAGCUUCCCAAAGUGCUGGGAUUACAGACGUGUGCCACUGCAUCUGGACAAAUUGCAUUUUAGAUCUAUGGAUGUUGUCUGUAAGGAAUGUGGAAAUUUCCCUGUGAAGAUAUCACCAGGGAGAAAACAAAGCUUCAGAUCCUUCUUCCCAUGCUAUCACCUUACUGCUCUUCUAAAUGAUACCAGAUUUCUGUUAUUUCUUGGAUUUCUGUCAUUCUGAUUGAAGGAACCUAAGCAAGCCUCAUUUAACUAGGAAUAUUUUGAAGGAAGACCUUCACUACACUUCUUUUCCAUACACGUGAUGCGAUGCAAUGCUAUUCUUAAAUUGUUCUGGAGAAUGAAUGGAUUGUGAACUCUUACUGACUUGUGUCUUGUAAAAUGAGCUCUGGCUAAAGGAACUGUUGGAUUCUGGAAUCUGCAGUCAUUCUGUGUUGUGGGGAAAUCAUAUGGAUCUGUGGCAGAGUGGAGUCAAAGCUCCAGACCAGGAUGAGUGGAGAGCACUUGGGAAGUGUUUUGAAGUGGAGCCUAGCACCUUUUUUCUUCUCAAAGUUGUACAGACUGACUUAGUUUUUAUCAUAGAAGGAUAACAAAAGCAUCUUGCCCAUGGUUUCAUAAAAAAUGAGCACUGUUGUUAAGACUUGUACCUGGUUAAUUUGUCCUCAGAUACUGUAGUAUUUCCAUUUUUCUACAUAGAUCCUUGCCUUGCAUGGCUUAUGUAAAACACCUACUUCUCCA